rnacentral:rRNA from 1 species
AUUGAACGCUGGCGGCAGGCCUAACACAUGCAAGUCGAGCGAGCGGCGGACGGGUGAGUAAUGUAUGGGGAUCUGCCUGAUGGAGGGGGAUAACUACUGGAAAAGGUAGCUAAUACCGCAUACCAUCAGAUGAACCCAUUUGGGAUUAGCUUGUAGGUAGGGAAACGGCUCACCUAGGCGACGAGCCCUAGCUGGUCUGAGAGGAUGAUCAGCCACACGGGGACUGAUACACGGCCCAGACUCCUACGGUAGGCAGCAGUUGGGAAUAUUUCACAAUGGGCGCAAGCCUGAUGCAGCCAUGCCGCGUGUAUGAAGAAGGCCUUCGGGUUGUAAAGUACUUUCAGUCGGGAGGCGUUACCGACAGAAGAAGCACCGGCUAACUCCGUGCCAGCAGCCGCGGUAAUAC